AGAGCGAACGCUGGCGGCAGGCCUAACACAUGCAAGUCGAGCGGCCGUAGCAAUACGGCAGCGGCAGACGGGAGAGUAACACGUGGGAACGUGCCCAUCAGUUCGGAACAACCCAGGGUAACUUGGGCUAAUACCGGAUACGCCCUUACGGGGAAAGAUUUAUCGCUGAUGGAGCGGCCCGCGUCUGAUUAGCUAGUUGGUGAGGUAACGGCUCACCAAGGCGACGAUCAGUAGCUGGUCUGAGAGGAUGAUCAGCCUCACUGGGACUGAGACACGGCCCAGACUCCGUACGGGAGGCAGCAGGUGGGGAAUAGUCGGACAAGUGGGCGCAAGCCUGAUCCAGCCAUGCCGCGUGGAUGAGUGAAGGCCUUAGGGUUAGUAAAUCCGUUUACGGGCGGGAAGAUAAGUGGACCGGUACCCG
rnacentral:rRNA from 1 species